GGCUCAGGCAGGGACCAGAGGCUGACAGCAGAGAAGGGCUCUUCUCCACAUGCUGCAGAGCUGGGCACAGAGGAUGGGGAGCUCCUUGUGGCCCGAUUCGCACCACACACCGAAAACCCUGGCGGACAAAGCUGGUCUUGAAAGGAGAAGGGGACCUGGAGAGCCAAGCAGCGACCCCCCACCACACGCGUCUGCUUGUUCUCCAAACUGCAAGAGGUCCCCAGAGGCGCUUCCGUGCCCCUGCGGCCUCCUAGGAAUUAUAAAAAGCAAGUGUGAAAAUGU